AUUGAACGCUGGCGGCAGGCCUAACACAUGCAAGUCGGACGGUAGCACAGAGAGCUUGCUCUUGGGUGACGAGUGGCGGACGGGUGAGUAAUGUCUGGGGAUCUGCCCGAUAGAGGGGGAUAACCACUGGAAACGGUGGCUAAUACCGCAUAACGUCGCAAGACCAAAGAGGGGGACCUUCGGGCCUCUCACUAUCGGAUGAACCCAGAUGGGAUUAACUAGUAGGCGGGGUAAUGGCCCACCUAGGCGACGAUCCCUAGCUGGUCUGAGAGGAUGACCAGCCACACUGGAACGGGGACACGGUCCAGACUCCUACGGGAGGCAGCAGUGGGGAAUAUUGCACAAUGGGCGCAAGCCUGAUGCAGCCAUGCCGCGUGUAUGAAGAAGGCCUUCGGGUUGUAAAGUACUUUCAGCGGGGAGGAAGGCGACGCGGUUAAUAACCGCGUCGAUUGACGUUACCCGCAGAAGAAGCACCGGCUAACUCCGUGCCAGCAGCCGCCGUAA
rnacentral:rRNA from 1 species